rnacentral:rRNA from 1 species
GACGAACGCUGGCGGCGUGCCUAAUACAUGCAAGUAGAACGCUUAAGGAGGAGCUUGCUUCUCUGGAUGAGUUGCGAACGGGUGAGUAACGCGUAGGUAACCUGCCUGGUAGCGGGGGAUAACUAUUGGAAACGAUAGCUAAUACCGCAUAAUAGCAGUUGUUGCAUGACAACUGUUUGAAAGGUGCAAUUGCACCACUACCAGAUGGACCUGCGUUGUAUUAGCUAGUUGGUGGGGUAACGGCUCACCAAGGCGACGAUACAUAGCCGACCUGAGAGGGUGAUCGGCCACACUGGGACUGAGACACGGCCCAGACUCCUACGGGAGGCAGCAGUAGGAAAUAUUCGGCAAUGGACGGAAGUCUGACCGAGCAACGCCGCGUGAGUGAAGAAGGGUUUCGGAUCGUAAAGCUCUGUUGUAAGAGAAGAACGAGUGUGAGAGUGGAAAGUUCACAAUGUGACGGUAUCUUACCAGAAAGGGACGGCUAACUACGUG